CAACCCUCAAGCUCCGCUUGGUGUUGGGCUCGCCCCUCCCCGGGGCCUGCCUCAAAAUCAGUGGCGGCCUCGCCCGGUCUCAAGCGCAGUAAUACUCGCCGCUUGUUGUCCCCGGGCGCGGCUGGUCAUCCAACCCCCACAUCACCA
rnacentral:misc_RNA from 1 species